UACGUAGGGUGCAAGCGUUGUCCGGAAUUAUUGGGCGUAAAGGGCUCGUAGGCGGUCCAUCGCGUCGGGAGUGAAAAGCUGGGGCUUAACCCCAGUCCUGCUUCCGAUACGGGUGGACUAGAGGUAGGUAGGGGAGAUCGGAAUUCCUGGUGUAGCGGUGAAAUGCGCAGAUAUCGGGAGGAACACCGGUGGCGAAGGCGGCAUCCUGGACCGGUAUUGACGCUGAGGCGCGAAAGCCAGGGGAGCAAACGGG
rnacentral:rRNA from 1 species